AAAUGAUCCAAGCUAUGAUAGAUCUACAAUUGAAUUGCAAUCAUAGAAAGGGGAUGCCAAUUACUUUUAAUUCGUUUCUUACAGAACAUAGCGUGUAAUUUGGCUAUUUAAUGCCUGAUAACCCUAAUAAGGGAAGAAGGGGCAAUAUUUGACAAUUGAAUAUAAAAUAAAACAAAUUUGUAAUUUAAAUAAGAAUAAUGGCGUAUGAGUUGAAAG
rnacentral:misc_RNA from 1 species